GACAGCAGUAGCCACGGUAAUACGGAGGGUGCAAGCGUUAUCCGGAUUUAUUGGGUUUAAAGGGUCCGUAGGCGGACUUAUAAGUCAGUGGUGAAAGCCUGUCGCUUAACGAUAGAACUGCCAUUGAUACUGUAAGUCUUGAGUAUAUUUGAGGUAGCUGGAAUAAGUAGUGUAGCGGUGAAAUGCAUAGAUAUUACUUAGAACACCAAUUGCGAAGGCAGGUUACCAAGAUAUAACUGACGCUGAGGGACGAAAGCGUGGGUAGCGAACAGGAUUAGAUACCCCCGUAGUCCUGUCUCUUAUACA
rnacentral:rRNA from 1 species